UCUUGAAUCAAAACAAACAGUUGCACAAAAUUAGAAAGACAGAUAUUUUUCUCAUUUAUUUCGUAUUAAAUAUUUUUAAUAAGCUUAAUUGCCUCAAGGUGCAUCAUUUAUACUGUGCUAUACAAUAUAUAUAUUCAUUCCUAACCGAAUCUACAUGCGUUGAAUAUUGACAUUUCGUGACGUUUAACUUACACGUUUCGAAGGCUUUAAUUCGGUGACAUAAUCUCUAAUGACAUUAUACAAGUUCUUAUGUAAUAGAGAGCAUUAUGUCAGUUUUAACAGAUAAAAAUGGCAUGAGAACAUCUGAAUCGCAAUUAAUUGUCUUGCUUCAUAUUCAUCUCUUUGCCACUUUCUUAUUCCUUAUACAAACUAAAAUAGUAAUCCCUACUCAAUUAUUUUUAUGAGAUGAUAAAUUUUUUUCAAAUAUUUAAUAAUUUUUCACUUCUUCGGUAAAAAAAAAAAGCGAGUUUACGUGUUUGUAAGGAAUAAGAAAGUGGCAAAGAGAUGAAUAUGAAACGAAACAAUUAAUUGCGAUUGAGAUUGUUCUAUGUAUGUAUGGCAGCAAUAGAAGUUGUAUAUAUAAUUAUUUUCAUUAAGAACUGUUUAUCCAAUUCGACUGGUUAGAUUACCUCUAUUAAUACGCAUUACGACACCUUUUGUACUUUGAAUUUGCAAUAUCUCGUGAAAUUUAUUAAUGUUAUACUGCUAUACCAAAAUCAUUCUAGUAAAAUAAAAAUAAUUUUCAAAUUUCAUUAUGUUGUAAUGUAAUAAUAAAGUAAAAUUUAAACAUUUUUAUAUUUAAUAUAUACACAACUCACAAUCAGACAACGCUGACAAAACAUGUAUAAAUGUAUAAUUUAUAAAUAUACAAGAUGUAAUUUAAAUAUUAGAAUAGUAAAUGAGACUGAUAUCACAACAAAAGAAAUAUUACAAUGUGCAAUAUAUGAGAAUUUUUCUAAAAUUUUCAGAAUAAUUAUUGCGAAAGAGAGAGAGAGAGAGAGAGAGAGAGAGAGAGAAACACCAGACCAUUAAAAAAAAAAAUUUGCUAUGUGUAUUCACAUAUCUAUAUUGUUCAUAUUAUCAUAGAUCGCGGCAUCUCUUUAUGACUUUUCACGAUUCAAGUGUCAACGAAUGGCGAUAAUUAUCGCCAUGUGGCCCUCACCAUGUGUUUGGCCAUCGUUAUGUACGUCGCCACCGGGGCAUUCAGUAUAAUCCAGCAGUUCUUCUCGAUGAUCAGCGUGUUCCUAUUAACUUUGCUAGGUAGAGCAAUUUUAUUAGUUGGUCACAUAACGACAGGAGAUAUCCCCAGAAGACGUCAAAUUGUCAAUGAAAGAAGAGAAUUAUAUACAGAUUCAGAGGAGGAUCGCGUCACCAUGAGUGGAGCAUCCUUGAAGUCGAGGCAUUCUUUCGAACAAGAUCUGUCACCGUAAAGACGAGUCGUUCGAUCCAAAAGACCUCUGUCUCUGUUUAAUACAUAUCAUCAUCUAGAUCGGCAUUGUUUCAACUAAUAUUACAUAACUCGAAUUUGUAUGCCAGUAUGUGUAUUGAUUAUAUGAAAUAUUACGCAAGAAAUGGGCCGAAAAUAUUGCGUAUAUCCAUAUUUCAAAAAUACAAGAAUAUAAAUUAUAUACUCUAAGACAU